rnacentral:piRNA from 1 species
UGAGCUUCAUUGCCUCACGCCAAGGGAA